UGGAAACGAUAGCUAAUACCGCAUAACAAUGGAUGACACAUGUCAUUUAUUUUGUAAAAGGGGGCGAAAUUGCUCCACUACAAGAUGGACCUGCGUUGUAUUAGCUAGUAGGUGAGGUAAUGGCUCACCUAGGCGACGAUACAUAGCCGACCUGAGAGGGUGAUCGGCCACACUGGGACUGAGACACGGCCCAGACUCCUACGGGAGGCAGCAUG
rnacentral:rRNA from 1 species